rnacentral:rRNA from 2 species
UACGAAGGGGGCAAGCGUUGCUCGGAAUCACUGGGCGUAAAGGGCGCGUAGGCGGGCGUCUAAGUCAGGGGUGAAAUCCCGAGGCUCAACCUCGGAAUUGCCUUUGAUACUGGAUGUCUCGAGACCGGAAGAGGUGAGUGGAACUGCGAGUGUAGAGGUGAAAUUCGUAGAUAUUCGCAAGAACACCAGUGGCGAAGGCGGCUCACUGGUCCGGUUCUGACGCUGAGGCGCGAAAGCGUGGGGAGCAAACAGG